CUGGUUUCUCAAAUACAGCUUGCUGAGCUGGCAACACCAAUUGGGCAACCCAUUUUUCAUCGCUAUGAUAAGUCCCAAACUCAGCAGGUAACAUAAAAAAAAAUAUUAAUUUCAGCCAAUACCUCUUUGCCUUUACCGGUUUUCUUGACGCGCCACUCCUAGUUCUGCUCUUUGUAGCGUAGGCGUUAAACCCUCCUUCUUUAUGUCUUGGUCAACUCCUCUGGACACCAACGUUCUCCAUGAAUCAGCUUCUCUUGUUGCUUGAUAUGCUCUCCAUAAACUCAUCAACAACAACAUAUCCACGCCUUGAAGGAUAACUCAGCCUCUCAUGCACAGAUUGCACUUAUUUCCCUUUAUCAAAUCCCUCGACUGCAGGAUGGUGCCUUGAUGGCUGAUACUCCAGACGUUCAUACACUGACUGGCACUGUCUCUUAGAAUUGUGAUACUCUUGAUAUUGUGAACUACACUCUGGGCAAUUAACAACCGAUGGUAACCUCAGCUUCUGGUUCCAGCAAUAUUGGGGAAAAGGACAAUUCCAGUGUGACUCAAACUUGCUCUGUUCUUCAUCUAUCCUAACUCCUCGAACCUCCCAUCUACACUGGUACUUGUUGAUCAACAUCUUGGAAGUCACUUUAGAUUUCCCCAGCAGAUCAACUAGUUUCAGAUUCCUCAACUUCUUGAGCCC
rnacentral:lncRNA from 1 species